CCAAAUCCGGUCCUUCCCCAUUAAACCCAAACGGGCCCUAUUUCAUCUCCUCUUCUCCCUCAUCUCAAAAAAAAAACCUAAUCCCUUUCAUUUGAGGAAUGGAGAAAAACGGCAGAACAUUGAGACGGAUUCCCCAACCCCCACUGAAAAACCCUAGCGGCUCACAGACCCCUCUCCCUCUAAGACAACCAGCCGCCACCCGUUUCUUUCUACUUCUUCUUUCUACUCUUUCUCAUCGUACUUCAUCCAUUCAUAUACAUACGUUUACUUUGCUUGUCGAAAAAUGAUAUUCGAUCUAUGAAGUUCUAAAAUCAGAACAAAAGUCCAACGAAUUGAUCGUUAAUGGACGUGCCAACAUGUCCUUGAGCAGCUUGCUCGAUUUCUUUCUUCCUGAGGUUUCUCAAAGUCGUUUUGAGCUGUGGAAUCACUGUACUGUCGUUGCUGCUAAAUGAGCUAUUUACUUGCUGAGUUUGGUUGGGCUGUGUUGCUGAGUUUCAACUUUAUCCUAUUUUGUAUUUAUUUGGCUUUCUAAAAUGGUUCUUGCGCAACCAGGUAUUCAUUUGAACUCAUUUUUAUUUUGAAAAACAUGAAUUAAUCCUUCUGUUUCUCUAUGAAGUUUCAAAUCAUUGUUGUUUUUACAUAUUUGAAUCUUUUUCUGAGUAGUCUAUCGAUUAAUAAUAUAAAUUUAUUUAACUUCAGGGUGAUUUGCUUCUGUUUUAUUUGGGGACUUAAGUGUUGAAAAAAGCAGGAUUCUGUUGCUCUGGUUUCUGCUCCAUCAAAUUUCGUUGAUUGGUUAUGUUUUAAUAUAGUCAUGAAUCUGAUUAAUGUUAGAUAGGUAUGGAGUGUAAAUAGGCACAAAAAAAUUAAUAUCGAUAUAGAUAGCCUUCCCAUUUAACACUUGACUUUGUAUUGAAAGACUAAUGAAUUGCCUGAUGAUUCAUUUGGAAAUUAAAGUUGUAAUAACGGAAAGCCGUAGAUAUAUCAGAUUUGCGAAGCAGUUUGGUUGUAAUCAAUAGAGUGGUUGUAUGCGUAACAAGGUUCGAUAGAGUUGAUUGAUUGAUAGAAUGGCUAUUUGUGUAAUGGGCCUAGCUGUUUUAGAACAAGUCAAUGUUGUGAACCCAUAUAAUGGAGAUACUUUAUUUGCAAUUUCCUAAUCACAAUCCCAUGCUUCUAUUUACAUUAGAUAGUCAUGUGAUACUGGAUGAUUUGUAUCUUGUGAAUAUAAUUAGGAUUGGCCCUUUGUAAUUUCGUUUGAGUUAUAGCUUUCACGCUCUGAAUUUUAAGGGAGGCUAGUGAAUAAUCGACCUUCAAGGCACAGAUGAUGAAAACUUUCCUUGAAUCAAUCUUAGUAAAUACAUGCAGCUGGCUCCUAUGCCUUUUUAGCAUAAUGCUUAACAAUUGUCGAACAUUUCUGAUAGAAACAAAGCAUCCACCAAACUAUAUAGAGAACCAGGUUCUCUAUCUAUUCACACAGUAAAUCGGCAGUAAAUAGAGAACACAGAGGAAUUUUACAUGGAAAACUCCCAGAUCACGGGAUUAAAAACCACUGCCUACCGGUGUAGGAUUUCAACUUCACUACUGAGUAAUCUUCAGAUUACAACCUAUUGUAACCUAGGAAUUAACCGCUUAAUCCCUCACUAACUUAUAACUACACUAUUAGAAGCCACUUUGUAAUAACUCUAUUACAAAGACUUAAUCACUCACUAACUUGUAACAACACUAUUACAAGCCACUUUGUAAUAACUUUAUUACAAAGACUUCACAACUCGACUAACUCUAGCCAAGACACAAACACAAGGGUUUAUGAUUUACAAAGGGUUUCCUACAUAAUGCUUCUAAGUAAGCUAAGUAGGAAUUACAAGUCUGAGCUUCAACAAAGAUACAACACAACUAAGGACAUAUAAUAACUCAAUAUGGGGGUAUUGGUCUAUUGCUAUGUUGUUCUUUCUUCUUGAUGCCCUUGAGAAUCACUUGUAAGAUGGACACACAUUUGAGAGAAUGCUUGAUGAGUUCUUGAAUGUGCAAGUGAUUUGUUUUACCUUUGCUUGAUGUUAAUAUCUCAUUUGUGACAUCACUUGGAUGAUGUAAGCAAGGUAGGUAAAAAGCUUUCCACAGAAAGUUGACUGUUGCACUGUUCAUGUACUGUAGUAUGUGCAGGCAACAACUUUCCAACUGGAGAGUUGACUUCAUACAGUCACCUCAGGAACUGGUAGGGACCUGGUCCCUAAGCUGUUCCUUCCACUCUGAGGAGUUAAGCCAUAUCCAAACUGGAUCCCAACCGGGAACUUUGUGAUCUUAAGGUCUUGAGAAUGUUUAAAGCUGUAGAGUUGACUAUACGACGACCAGAUCUGUUGUUUCCUUAUCUGAUUUCGUUGAGAAUUGAACCAGACAUCUAACUAGUUACUCUGAAUGCAAGAGAACUAAUCGUAUCAGGUUCCUUAUCUUGUUCUCUCAUGAAGUUUGUCAAAUUAUCAAAACAAAAGACGCAUAACUUAUCCAUUUCCCCCUUCUUGAUGAUGAAAAACUUAGAAUUGUAAUUAGAAUUUAUAUCCCCCCGUGAGAACCAAAUCUCCACAUUGUCCCCGUAUGAAUUAGCCAUAUUCCCCAUGAGAACCAGCCCAAAGGAACUGAUCACAACUGGUUCUUCAAGAUUAUUUGGCAAAUCUUCAAAACACAAAAUAACAUAACUUAUCAAUUUCCACCUUUUUGAUUAUGACAAACCCAAAAUUAAUGUUCCCCUUGAGAACCAGAUUCCUCACAUGUUUCCCUGCAGAUCAGACCUUGAAUUAACAUGUUAUCAACAACGUUCCCCCUGCGAAGCAGAGCUAUCUUUCAUGCACAACACAACAUAUCAAAUUCGAUUCUAUUCCUCCCUCAUGCUGACACCUAUAUAACUUCCCCCUUUUGGCAUCAUUGAAAAGAAUAACAGAAGAAGCACAACCAAAAAGAAGUUCAGUAACAUUAACUCAGGCUACUUGGGCAACACAACAUAAACAAUAACAAGAACCACAAGUGAAUGUCAUUGCACAAAAUAGAGUAAUUGCCCAUAGUAGAGUAAUUAUAACAAAAACACAGUAGUUUCAACAAUACAGAAUAUGACAAUUUAAACAACUAAAGUACCAAUGUCAUCAAACAUAGGGAACAAAAGAAGAUAGGAAUUCGAGAGAAUUUGGAAGGAGUGAAAGGCAUGGAUCACUAGGCAGGAAGAAAAGUAAGGGGAUAAGGCUUUGAUGAGCUUGUCAAUUCGUUCAUUCACAAUCAUUUGAUCAAUGAUCAUCUGCUCUCUCAGUUCCUCCAUCUGUUUCCUCAAUCUUUCAUUCUCACCCUUCAACUUAGCAUUCUAUUCUGCCAAGGGUCCACGGGGACCUGGUUCUCUACCUUUCUGAGCAGGCUGAACCAUCAAUCAUAUCACCUAGAAUCUCCCCAAGCUUCUCCUUAUCAAGAACAAACUCAGUCUCAUACACACAUAGCAUCAAAGUAACACAUACAACAUAAAAGUUUUUACUUCUUCUUCAUAAACGUUGGGACUUGGAGGAACAAAGAGGUGAUUCUAUUUUUGGAUCUCAACAAUGUCAAGAAGUUCCUCCAGUUUUCAGUAAUAUCAUAUUCAACACUCUGCCUAACAACACUUUUUGAGAAAUCAGAGUCUUCUACCUCUCCAAACCUGAUAACUUAACCUUUUCCUUCUAUAAGGAAACAGGUUCCUCACUCACACUACCCUUUCUUUCCCUAAGCGGCCAUGUCCCUCUUCUUCUUCUCAAUCUGUUCACCCUUAUCAUCUAUUACAUCUUUCUUAGCCAACUUUAUUUUCUUAAUUUUUUUGAAUUCUUUCUCACAAAUGGAGAUUUUCCACUUCAUUCUCUUUUCCACAAUCAGCACAUCAGCAGGUCACACCACUUCAUCAUCAAUUAGCCUACUUUUCUCAAUCCUUUUUACUGGAUCAGAGAUUCGUUUAAGCAUAGAACCCAAGAGAAAAAAACCAUCAUCAGAAUUAGCAUCCUAAGAAGGAUUUGAGGGACCAGGUCCUUCAUUCAGUUCCCCCUUUUUCCGGCACAUUCACCAACUCCUCCAUCCUUCAAGGCUUCUACAAACCCAACAUCAAUUUCAGCCUCACUUUCCAAAAUAUUAGAUCUACCCCAUUCCUUUUCAGUUAAAGUCCCAUCAAAAUCUACCAAAGACUUCUUGGGUUUCGAUUCAGAUGUAGUUAGGAUUUUGGAAGGUGAAAGAGUUGGAUUCACUUCUGGCAUAUUUGGAGAGACGGAUUAUUUUUGAGUUAAGGUUGAUUUUUGAGGAAAAGAAUCGGUUAUGGUUGGGUGUGAGAGAAGGAAAUGGUUUUUCGGGGCAACAGGUCAGUUCAGAAAAGGUUUAACAUUUUGAACUUCAAAAUUUGGAGAGAGAUGGGAAUAAAUUAAUGACAUUAUAUUUCAGUAGUUUAAAAAGGUAUAUAAGUAUUUAAGAGACUACUAACCUGAGUCAUAAGAACAAGGUUCCUUGACGGUUUUUAAAAAUUUAAGCAAAGACUCCUAGAAGGGCAAUGUCACUCUUACUUGUUUUGUCCUGAAACUGCCAUGUAUGUAUACCAGUAAUAGUAUAGAUUUGAGUUAGAUGUCACCAAAAGACACUUUUUAGCGUUGUACCUUUCCUUCUUAACAUAGCCAAUCAUCGAGGGACCAGGUCCUUAGUUAAGCUGGAUAAACUUUCAAAGUGUUCACUGCUCAGCGCCUUAGUGAAGAUGAUUACUACCUAGUCCUCCGUCUUCCCGUACUUUAUAAUAAUUAGAACCUUUUCAAUAUUAUACCUCAAAAAGUGAUGUCGUACAUCAAUGCGCUUUGUCCUCUUGUAUUGUACCGGGUUCAAGCUGUAAAUACACCAAAGUCUUUAAGAUGUUGCUUGAUCUGUAGUAGUUGAACACAACAAGAAGCAACAACCAUGUAUUCAACUUCAUUAGUAGAAAGAGCCACAUAAUUUGUUUUUUUGUACCCCAUGAGAUCAAGCAUGACACUAGAAAAUGUGUCGUUCUAGAUGUGCUUUUUCUAUCUACUAGAUAUUCAACAUAAUCAACAUCAGCAUAUCCAACCAAGUCAAAAGAAUCUUCUGAAAAAUAGAUGAGGACCAGGUCCUGCUUUCCCUUAGGAUACCUCAAAACUCCCUUGGCACCCUUCAAGUGAGAGUGUUUUGGGCCAGGUUCCAAUCGCUGUUCUGUAUGAAGGCCUAGAGACCAGGUGCCACACUUGGUUCCUCUCAACUGAUGGAGUUCUUCUUGCAUAGAAGCUAUCCAGUUAGCAUUUUUCAAUGCUUCUUUGAUGUUCUUAGGCUCGAUUUGAGACAAGAACGUUGAGAGGGAAAACAUGUUCCUUGCCUUAGAACUAGGUUGAAUACCAGAGUCUAAGGAUGUGAUUACAUUUUGAAGGGAUGUGAACUCUUUUGCUUCUAGUUGGAUACUUGAACUUCAGAAUUUGAAGGACCAGAUUCCUCCAUAUGUGAAUCAUCAUUGACAUCAACAGAAUUAUGACUUCCACUCUUUUGUUCUACAUCAGGAGUACCUAAUGCAGCAUCAACAACCCUAUGUUCAGCUUAAUUCGAGGUGAUAGAGGGACCGAGUUCCUCUACACCUUUGGAGAUUCUACUGCAUCUCCUUCAUCGCUCUGCUUGACUCAUCAAAUCAGUCUUUCCAUUUGCACUAUCUGUAGCUUCACCAGGAGAAUUUGUGAAUUCUCCAUCUUCAUCUUCUUUGUUAUGUGUUUCCACCAUUGUUGAGAACACAACAUUUUGCAUCCAAAGGCUCUCGGGUAAGUUAGAUUGGGUUUUCUCCCAUUGAGCAGUUCAUAGAGAGACUUCUCGAGAAAGGACCUGAUCAUGCACUUGUUAAUCAAGUAGCAAGCAGUGUUGGUUGCUUCAGCCCAUGAACCAAGUCCUCCAUAAUCAACUUGUUCAACAUAUAAAAGCUCACAUGCCCCAGUCAUCUUCGACAUAACUCAGCAUCAUCAUCAAUGACACUUAGGCAUGUUAGAUCACCAUCAUUCAGUGAAUCAAGGUCUGCAACAUAGAUAUUCUUGAAUCUCUUAGCUAUCAAUACCAUUUCACCAGUUUUAAGAUUUUGUGAAAGUGCAAGAUUUGGACAAGAACUUCACUUUAUUUUUCCUUAUCACAGAUUUAAGACACAUUCAACAAGCUAUAUUUCAAGCCAUUCACAUAGUACACAUUUUUGAUUGCAUGAGAGAGUGUUUUGUCAAUUUUGCCACCACCAAGAAUAUAGCCUUCUUGUCAUUUCUAAAGGACACACUCCCACCUUGGAAGGCCUAGAGUGAGAGGAAAUUAUUCAUUCUUCUAAUCUAAUGCUUAGAGCAGCCACUAUCCAUGUGCCAUUUUUUUGACUGCUACCUCUCACUUCAGCCUGCACACUAAAUCAAUGAUUAGAAUUAGGAACCCAAGCCAGCUUGGGUCCCUUAUAAUGAUAGAACGGGCUGAUCAAACUUCUUUUUGCCCGCGCAGGCAGCACAUAUUUUCUUUUCAGGGAACCAGGUUCCUCAUCAAUAGGCCUCUUUCCAACAAAAACUUUGUUUUUUUUGUAAACGCUGAAUUUUAGUUUUACAAGAGUCCUUGUAAUGACCCAUUUGACCACAGUGAGUGCACAACCUAUUAUCAGCCUCAGUUACAUACUUGCUAUGGGGAUUACAGGAGGUUUUAGCCUUUUGGAACCCGAUUCCUUUCCUGUUUCCACCAUUACUCUUGUACAUAGACAUUAUUACAUCAGAGGACCAGGUGCAAUUAAGUGACUUAUCAAGAUCAUUUUUAACCCUUUUCAAAUCCUCUUGAAGUUGUCUAUUUUUUUCAAGCUCAACAAUAAGACUUGUUUUAACUUUCUUAAGCUCACUCUUAAGCUCAAGUCAAGCCUCACUAGCCACUUCUUUACCCUUAGUGCUGUCCAUCCAUUUUUUCGUUUGGUUUUUAAACAAGUUAGUUUCUCUAGUUACUUCUUCCACUUGUUCCUUCAAAUCUACAAUGGAAACUACCAUAUUAUCCCUCUCUUGUUCCAUGUCACCAAUUUCUUCUACUAAAGCAUUUUUCUCAUUAAUGAGGCUAUGAUAGGCAUCAAUCAACACAUUUGCUAAGGACAUCAAUUUUUUGUUUGAGUAAGUUUUCAAAUUUUUUUGAACAUCAAGAAAACUUAUCUCAUCUUCCUCCUUAUCCUCAUCAUCAUCAGAUUUGGCCAUAAGUGCAAAGAUUGACUCAUAUUCUGAAGAUCCAUUAUUAGCAACCAUCAUAUAUGUAUCCCCUUGGUCAUCUUCACCUUCAGAUUCACUAGAAGAAUUUCCCCAGUCAGCCAAAGCUUGUUCACCAUGUUGUCACCAACAUCUCUUCUUUUGAACUUCCUAUCAGAGACCUCCUUUCUCUUAGCCACCUUAUCAAUGUUGGUUUUAUAAUGAUCCUACUUAUGAAGAGGACAAUCUUUAAUAAAGUGUCUAGACUUUCCACACUUAUGACAAAAAUCAUUUUCUUUGAAAUUCCUGCUGGAACUUCCUUUCUUUGGAAUCCCACCAUUUUUUUGAAUCAUCUUUUGGAAUCUUCAAGUGAGAUACUCCAUGUCGGAUUCAUCACUACUUGAGUCUUUGUUGGCAUCCUUGAGAACCAGGUUCUUCUCCUUCUUGGGCUCUCUUAUUUCAAGAUCCUUCUUUCUCUUCAUCUCAUAAGUUUUGAGAUUUCCAGUGAGUUCAUCAAUAGUCAGCUUCUGCAAAUCCUUGGCUUCUGUGAUAGCAUUCACUUUACUUUCCCAAGAACCUGGUAAAACACUGAGUAUUUUCCGAACCAACUUGUUCUUGGGAUGAUUUCACCAAAGGAGUGAAGCUCAUUGAUAAUGGAGGUGAAAUGUGUGUGCAUAUCUUGAAUAGACUCAUCCUCCUUCAUCUUGAAAAGCUCAUACUCAGUAGUAAGCAUAUCAAUUUUGGAUUGAUUAACCUGAGUAGUUCCCUCAUGGGUAGUUUGAAGAGCUUCCCAAAUCUCCUUAGCAUACUAACAAGCUGAGAUGCAGUUGUACUCAUCUGGUUCGAUGCCGUAAACAAGAAUCUUCUUUGCCCUGAAAUUCUUCUCAAUAUCCUUUCUAUAAGCAUCGUUGUACUAUUUUCUUGUUUUUGGGAUUGUAACUGUUCCCUCACCAACAGUUUUCAUGGGAACAAAAUGUCCAUCACAGAUUACAUCUCACAACUCUGAGUCCUCAGCCAUAAUAAAGUCACACAUUCUUGUUUUCCACCAACUAUAGUAUUGGUCGUUGAAUCUUGGUGGUCUGUACGUUGAUUGUCCUUCCUCAAAGUUUGGUGGAACAGCCAUGUAGAUCCUUCCUAGGUGUUAACUUUUUAGAAGAACCUGCUCUGAUACAAUUGAUAGAAACUAAUAGCCUGUUUGGUCAAGCUACAAAAAUCAGCUUAUUUUGAGAAGUGCUUUUUUUCAAAAGUACUUUUGGUGAGAAGCAAUUUGUGUUUGGCUAAUUAGUUUGAAAAGCACUUCUGAGCAGCAAUUGGUGUUUGGACAAGCUUUAAAAUACUAUUUCUAAGUGUAUUUUUCUCAAGAGUGCUUCUCAAANAAGUGCUUUUGGAAAGAAGCUACUUUUUUCUGCUUAUCCAAAACUGCUUCUGAUUCUCCUCAAAAGCACUUUUUUCAUUCCAGAAGCUUGGCCAAACACCUCAAUUUUUGGCCAAAAAGCGCUUUUGGCCAAAAAUAAGCUUGGCCAAACAGGCUAUAAGCAUCCACCAAACUGUAUAGAGAACAAGGUUCUAUAUAUGUUCCCAUAGUAAAUCGGCAGCAAAUAGAGAACAAAAAGGAAUUUUACGUGGAAAAUUCUCAGCUCACGGGAUUAAAAACCACGACCUACCCUUGUAAGAUUUCAACUUCACUACUGAGCAAUCUUCGGAUUACAACCUAUUGUAACCUAGGAAUUAACCUCUUAAUCCCUUACUAACUUGUAACUAUACUAUUACAAGCCACUUUGUAAUAACUCUAUUACAAAGACUUAAUAACUCACUGACUUGUAACAACACUAUUAUAAACAACUUUGUAAUAACUCUAUUACAAAGGCUUCACAACUCAACUAACUCUAGCCAAGACACAAACACAAGGGUUUAUGAUUUACAAAGGAUUUCUCACACAAUGCUUCUAAGUAAGCUAAGUAGGAAUUACAAGUAAGAACUUCAACAAAGAUACAACACAACUAAAAACAUAUAAUAACUCAAUAUGGGGGACUAGUCCGUUGCUAUGUUGUUCUUUGUUCUUGAUGCCCUUGAGAAUCACUUGCAAGAUGGACACACACUUGAGAGAAUGCUUGAUGAGUUCUUGAAUGUUCAAAUAAUUUGUUUUACCUUUGCUUGAUGUUAAUAUCUCAUUUGUGACAUUACUUGGAUGAUGCACUGUUCCUGUACUAUAGCGUGUGCAGGCAGCAACGUUUCAGCUGGAGAGUUGACUUCGUAAAGUCACCUCGGGAACUGGUCGGACCUGGUCCCUCAGUUGUUCCUUCUACUCUGAGGAGUUGAGCCAUAUCCCAAACAAGAUCCCAACUUGGAACCUUGUGAUCUUAAGGUCUUGAGAAUGUUUAAAGCUGUAGAGUUGACUAUACGACAGCCAGGAGAACUGAUCCAUAUAUGUUCCCUCUGUUGUUCUCUUAUCUGAUUUCAUUGAGAAUUGAAUCAGACAUUUGACUAGUUACUCUGAACGCAAGAGAACUAAUUGUAUAAGGUUCCUUAUCUUGUUCUCUCUUGAAGUUUGUCAAAUCAUCAAAACAAAAUGCACAUAACUAGUCAAUUUCCUCCUUUUUGAUGAUGACAAACUUAGAAUUGAUAUUCCCCUUGAGAACCAGAUCUCCACAUUGUUCCCCCUAUGAAUCAGCCAUAUUCCCUAUGAGAACCAGACCAAAGGAACCGAUCACAACUGGUUCUUCAAGAUUGUUUGGCAAAUCAUCAAAACACAAAAUAACAUAGUUUAUCAAUUUCCAAACAAUUUAGAUUCAGUUAAUACUUCCAUUUAAUAAUCGCUAGUUGCUUUAGGUCCUUUUAUAAUAAAUCAUUAUGACUAUGGGUACGAUUCCUGUGGCAUAGUCAUGAUACCUAAUCCCCAAUUCGAGUGUGCGUUUCAACUGACUCGACCAUAACUUCAAAUAAUUAUAAAAAUAAGCAUGUUGUAAAUCGCAGGUGCGUUUCACGUGACGCGAUUCACAAUAUGUCCAAAACCAACGAAUGCGCGCCAUCGCGACUUGUUCAAAUAAAUUUCAUAAAUACUAAAAGAGGUUAAGUAAAUAAUUAAAAGCGGUUAGAAAGUUAAAAAUGCAUAAAAGGUUUUAAACAUGUAAUAAUUCAGAUAAUUAAGCCAAUUAUUAAUAGUUGAGCGACCGUGCUAAAACCACGAAACUCGGGAAUGCCUCACACCUUCUCCCGAGUUAACAAAAUUCCUUACCUGGUCUUUUGGUUUUCACAGACUUUAAAACAGAGUCAAAUUUCUUCUAAUUGGUUAAAAUAAAUCGGUGACUUGGGACACCAUAUAUUAUUCCAAGUGGCGACUCUGAAUCAAUAAAUAAUCUAUUUCGACUAAUGUCACUUUAAUUGGAAAAAUGUCAUAUUCCCUUCGGAAAAAAGGAGGUGUGACGGCUCUGGCGACUCUGCUGGGAACAAGAGCCCAGAAUCUCUGGUUCAGGGUUCAGAAUUCGAGCUUAGAAUAACUAUUAUACUUGGCAUUUGUUUAUUAUUUGACUUUUUACGUGCUUGAGCCUAACGUGCUAAAUGACGCUUUUUACCGCUUUGAUAUUGCUUGAACUGUAUAUAAAACUGUUACGAAACCCUUCUUGUCUCUGAGUCUUCUGAAUCUUCUGGAAAGUGCAUGCUAGCAAAGCCGGUGAAGCUUCUAUUUUCCAGGUACUCUGCCCCCCUCGGCUCGAGUUGUCCGCUCGGGUAAGCCAGGUCUAGAACAAUACACCCCAAGAUUUAAACUUAGAAUAACAUAGCCUCAUGUCGGAUCCCUAGUAGGAACGUUUGUUUGUAUCACGUGCAUUUGACUUUGGGGACUCAACACAGGGGUUGGGUCCGUCUAGGACGUGUACCCAAAUUAAAAAGACCAUCCUGAUGCAUCUUACGUGCUACUUGUGCAUUUAUUUGUUUUGGCUUGCAUGUUGACUGGCUUCUAGGGAAAGAAAAUUUUAAAAAAUAAAAAAUAAAGAGUGAGAGGUAAGUAUUUAAAAUCUGAAACUCUGCCGAAAUUUUGAAAAAGAAAGAGAAAAGAAAAUAAGCCAAUGUUCUCAAAAAGUCAUGUUUCCCUAUUUCAUUAAAACUGGGCCAAACUACGCGGGUCUGAUUCUUACUGGGUGUGAGAUACAUAGGCAAACCUCAUCGGUUCCAGCCCAUAAUUUUAAAAAAUCCAAAAAAAAUUUCCUUUACUUUCUUCUUUAGAAAGUCUUUCUUUUAGACUCUAAUUUUUAAAAAUACAAGAAUAUUUUCUUUUAAUUUCUUCUCAAAAUACAAAAAUAUUUUCGCUCUUCUUUCGAAAAUUGAAAAGAAAAUUCAAGAUUCAAAAAUAUUUUCUUUUUUCUUUAGAAGUAUUUCUUUCAUAAAUUCAAAAUAAAAGUCCAAUAUUCAAAAAUAUUUCCUUUCUUCUUUAGAAGUUUUUCUUUCGAAAUUCCAAAGAAAAACAAACAAAUCAAAAUCCAAAAAUAUUUUUUUCUUCUUUAUAAGUUCUUUUUUUUCGAAAAUUAAAAAUUAUAAAAAAAAUUCAAAAUUCAAAAGCCAAAAAAAAGAGUUAGUUUGUUUAUUUUAUUCCUCAUUUUCCCGUACUAUGCAAGAUCUGCUUCAUGUUUCCACAUGAUACGUAGGCAACCCACAUUAGGUUCGACCAACCAUUAUAAAAAAUGAUGAUGAUAAUAAUGAGGACCGACUGAGUCCAUUCUAACGUGUCUUUUGUUUUGAAUUGUGAACAAAGUUUGAGGUGGUCGGUUUGUCUUAAGCUACAACAUAUCCAUAAUUCACAAGGUCCAAGGGAAAAAUGCCAAUGGCAACUGACAUUGAAGUUGUUACGAGUGGUCAAGAGACUCGGGGGUCAGAGGGUACAACAAGAGUCUAUUGUGAUUGAGGAAAAUAAAAUAUUGAAAUAGUAAAUGACUCAAUUGUGUCAAACAUGGGCCAAUGGUCAAGGACCACACAUUUCUCAUGUUUUCCCAAAGUUCACACCCAUCUCGACUACUACUACUCCGGUCUCAUUGUCUGAUCAAUCCUAUCCAUAUGGGUUCAGUCUUUAUCCCAACUGUACGACUACAGCUGGAACUUCUGUUGCAUACUCCCACAGUGUGCCAUUGACAACCAAUCACACAACCACUGUUGUUAUGCCCCGUCUUUACUAUCCCACAGCCAACAGUGGUACAGAAGAAAAGUCAUGAGUCACAUUUUUCUACCCAACAAGAAUAGUACCACUCGUACCUAUUUGAUCUUCUUGCAAAUAUUGAGAAGCCUACCCGAAAGAUGGCACAGGAAGAAAUAACCCAAAAAAUAAAAAGCUUAGAACAACAGCUGAAAAUCAUAUAAGGGAUGGUAGGUCAUAAGAGUAUUGCCUUCAAGGAUCUAUGUAUGUUCCCCAAUGUCCACUUGCCACCUGGUUUCAAGACCCCCAAAUUCAAAAAGUAUGAUGUACACGACGACCCCAUAGCCCACUUAAAAAGGUAUUUCAAUUAACUAAGAGGUGUGGGAGGAAAUGAAGAAUUACUAAUGGUUUAUUUUGGGGAAAGCCUUACGGGGAUAACCUCUAAAUGGUUUACUAAUCAAAACACCUCUCACUGGCAUGUCUAGGAUAACAUGGCCUAGGCCUUUGUCAAAUAGUUCCAAUACAACAUCAAAAUUGCCCAGACCACAAUCCCUUUCAAACCUGAAGAAGAAACCAACUGAAAGUUUCAGGGAAUAUGCCAUUAAAUGGAGAGAGCAAGCGGCUAGAGUUAAACCACCCAUGCGAGCUAAUCACUGUAUUCCUUCAGGCUUAAGAGCCAGAUUAUUUUCAAAACAUUAUGUCCGCAGUGGGCAAAUCCUUCUCGAAAGCAAUCAAAAUUGGGAAAAUGGUUGAGAAUGGCCUUAAGACGGGCAGAAUUAUAAGUCAAGCAGUUCUGAAAGCCGCAACUCAGUCUGUCCAGAUUGAAUCGGAUAAUUUAUGUGACACGAAUGAGAAAGAUAUAGAAACUAUGAUGACAUCAGAGUCAAAAAGAGCAUCUCGAAGGUAUGACCAGCUUCGCCUGGUUUUCGAUGAUUCCCCUAAGCACUACUAUCUAUCUCAGAACCCACAAUACUCUGUUGCUCCACCUCAGUAUGUUGUCCAGCCACCAAAACACCCAGAAGGAGAGCACGAGCAUCACAAAAUUUCCACCAACCUCUAUAAAAUAUUUAAGUGCCCUAUAACCCACAUCCAAGCCAGGGGUAUAAAGGGAAACAAAGGUUGAAACAUAAUUUUAUACCAAUAGGAGAGUCCUAUACAAGUUUGUUUGAGAAAUUAAAGCAUUAUGACAUGAUUGCACCUAUUCCUCCAAAUUAUAUAGACCCACGUGCAAGAAGCUUUGACCCUUCUAAAAGGUGUGAAUACCAUUCCAAUGCUCAGGGCCACAAUUUUGAAAGUUGUCGGGAUUUGAAAAGAGAAAUAGAAAGGAUGAUCCAAGAAAAAUUGAUUGAAAUUGGAGAAGGCCCUGGUGAUUUUGAUGAUCAAAUUUGUGGCUAAAUGUCAAGCUAGGCAAUUGAAAAGUCAUUCCCUCCUCACUAGCAAGGAAUCUUGGUAGCUUGUUUUGAUAUUUUUUUCUAUGAUCUGGGUUAUUUUAGGGUUGUGAUCCAGAUUUUAUAUAUUUUAUUGAGUCAAACCCUUCCAUCCAUCUAUUUUAUCUGUGUGAGUCUUGUCUGUUUGUUCUAUUGCUAUUUUCAUUAUCUGGUUUAUUUUAGGGUUGUAACUCGGAUUUUAGGUUGUUUGUCUUGUUGUCCAACCUUUCCAUUCUUUACUCAAUGAAAGACAUUUUGUCCUUUUGUGUCAUUCUAUGCUUAAUCCUUUUCCUGCUAGUUCUAGUGACAUGACAUGCAUGCGGAAUUUUUUGCCAGAUCCUAGAAAACUGAUUUACUCUUGAAUUGGAUAACUGAGAAAAAGAUACUUUUGAGGAUGAAUAAAGAGUUGAAAUACCUUAGAAUUAAUCCUGAGUAAAAUUCAAGUGGAACUAGAAUAGUCAUAUCCAUGGAGGUUAAGAAUCUUUACCUUCAAAAUCAUUGUAAAGAUUAGAUUUGAGGAUGUUGAAUCAUUUGAAGUUCGGUGGAAAGUUUGAGAUUAAUGGAUGGAAAGUGUCUUUCGACUACGACACACCAAAAACACAGACAUGUUCAUCAUUGUUGUGAUCGCGAAUGGACACUAUAAUUGGUGUUCUCGAGGCUGGGAGGCCUUUUUUCUGCUAUCCAAAUACUUUAUACCCUUUGUUACCCCUUUUGAGCUUGUAUUAUUUUCUUUGACCACUUUCUUUUGGAAUUAAGUUUCGAGUUAAAAGUUAAAAAAAUGAAUAGAAAAGUCCAUGCCCCAAGAGUACAAACUGGGGCAGCUCUUAGAAAAAAAAACAAUCAAAGGUCCAUGUCCCCAGAAAAGUUGGGGAAACAUGUUUUGAAAACCAACAAAAAAAGACAGAGAAACAGAAAAAAGAUAGUUAGGUCAGAUGUUUGAACUACACUUGACCUGAUUUCUUAAAAAGGAUUAAUAGGCAGCCUUACAUGGUUCGGUCAAACCAAAUAAGAAUUCAUAAAACAAAAUCCAGUAUCUAAAACUGGGGCAUGAGUUUGUUUUAGUUUUUGAAAGAGUCAAUUCCAAGAGUUGUAAGUGUACAACCCAUCAUAUUGAGUCUAUUUUGAGCCUUCAUGUCGUCCUUUCUUUCCAACCAUAUCCAAAAACCUUCCAAAUAAAGCCCUUCUGAUCAGCCUUCAAGAAUUCCAAGAGACGCAUGCAAUGAACAACAAUUGUCACACGACGUAGAACACUAUCAAGUUGCUCACAAAAAAAGAGAAAGAAAAAGAAAAAAAAAUGAGAGAGUCUUACUAAUGAAAACCCUCAUGGGCACUGUAAGGAGAUGGUAAGUAGAGAAAAUAAAUGAGAGAGACUUGUUGGUAAAAAUUCAUCGGGGCACCACUAGUCGAAAGUGAGUCGUGAAGCUGAUGCAAAAAAUUGACAUAAACAAGCCUGACUUCAAAGGUCAUAAGAAUGGUAAAAGGGAAGAUUAGAUUAGUUUGAUAGAUUGGCCGUUAAGUCCAAAAUGCAUGUCAUGAUCAUUAAGGCUAGUUAUUGGAAGAAAAAGAGAAAAAUUCUUCCCUCUUUCCUUCCCGAUAGGGGCAUUUCUUGUUGAUACUGUUUCUUUGCAUCAUUAUGUCCCUUCACUCUGAGUCAGUCCUUGUCAAAACAAGCAAGAAAAUUUUUCAAAAUUUGCUACCAGCUUUUCAGUUGCACAAAGUAAAUUUGGUUAGCACACUCAGUUGUUAUAGUCUACAUGCCUUGAGGAUUCAUGCAAACGCCCCUACCCAAAAGACUCUUUCCAUCCUACUUGGCUAAAGCAAGCAAAGAUAACCUCGAGGUUAAUCAGGGGUUAUCUGUAGUACUGAACAGAGACUAUGAAGUGUGCACAUCAUGCAAAAGACGCACACCUGGUUGCGACUCUCUCUGACAAACAAAUUGCUCAAAAAGCAAGAAGCCAUUCAAGAUAUCAGAAAACGUCACCUAAGAAAAUAUCUCCAGUUGGUGUAAGGCUGAUUGAGCCACAAAUAAAAAUGGUACUGGGUGUGAAACAAUCAGGAUUGAUGCAGAGUAAAAGUCUCUUGAAACCGUCUCAAGUUGAUUGAGCAAAAGUCAAGUUGCCCACGACUCAAAGCCACAAACCAACCACCACUUUCAAAACUGACAAAAUUUUCUUUUUUUUUUGAAACAAGAACAAAGCAGUGCAAGGAAAGUGGUUCAAAAAAAAGAAGAAAAAAAAGAAAAAAGAAAAAAAAAAGAGAAAAAGAAGAGAAGAGAAGAACCAACAAAAGGGAAGUUUCUCAAAUAUUUGCCUUUAUUUGUCUUGCUAGUAUGCAUAAAAUCCUGCCAUCGCUCUUCACAUUUUUUUACUCCUAGGGUAAUACAUCCUAGUUUGAUGGAUUUCCCUUCCAAUAAAAUAUUAGUCUAAUGAAUCUUUCUCCUAAGAUAAGAAAACCUAGUCUGAUGAAUUUUCUCCUAGGAUAGAAAUCUUAGUAUGAUGAAUCUUUCUCCUAAGAUAAAAAGCCCUAGUCUGAUGAAUUUUCUCCUAGGAUAAACAUCUUAGUCUGAUGAAUCUUUCUCUAAGAUAUAAAAAAACCUAGUCUGACGAAUUUUCUCCUAGGAUAGAAAUCUUAGUCUGAUGAAUCUUUCUCCUAAGAUAAUAAAUUAGAAAACCUAGUCUGAUGAACUUUCUCCUAGGAUAGACGUCUUAGUCUGAUGAAUCUUUCUCCUAAGAUAAAUAGAAAAUCUAGUCUGAUGAAUUUUCUCCCUGGAUAAUUAAAAAAAAGUCUGGAUUUUUAAAAAAAAAUAAAGGAUCAAUUUCAGUUUUUAGUUGUUAAUCUUAAGUUCAGGGGUCCCGCCUGGAGAAUAGGAUCAGUUUUUAAUUUCCUUAAGUUAUUAAUCUUUAGCAUUCCUUUUAGUUCAGGGGUCUCGCCUAGAGAAUAGUGUCAGUUUUUAGUUUCCCUAAGUUGUUAGUCAUUAGUUUUUCUUAAAGUUCAGGGGUCCUGCCUAGAGAAUAGGGUCAAUUGUUAGUUUCCUUAAGUUUUCGAUCUCUAGUUUUUCUUUUGUUCAGGGGUCCUGCCUGAAGAAUAUGGUCAGUUUUUAGUUUCUUCAAAUUGUUAGUCUUCCAACAUAGGGUCUCCACUCCCUAGUCUUUUUUUUCAGGGUACACCAAACCCGACCUUUUAUUGCUUUAUAUAAUGAAGUAAUAUAGAGUUUUGGUACCAAUAACUAACGAAAUUUUUCUAGUAAAAACUGGGGCAGAAAAUUUCGUUCGUUCGUUUAUUUUGGGUGCCUGAGCAGGUUAUACCUCGAGGCACAAGGUUCGAGAUGACCAAAAGAAGUCUCAAUCCAAAAUAGAGAAAAGAAAAGGAAAAGAAGUGAAUUCAAAGUGCAGACACAAAGCAAAGAUGUGGACUGCUCAAGACAUGACUGAAGUCACAAGCUUUGCAUGUCCCAUCUUGAUCCGAAAAGCUGAAGAAGAAUGGACAAGCACAUCCAGCUAGCAAGCAUCAAGGUUCAGAUCAGAGUCUGUGUGAAGAACCAACGAAGAAUCGAGAUCAAGCUUCAAAAGACUCAUAGAUAGGAAUCUUGUAACUCGUAGAUAAUAGGCUUAGUUAGUCUUUUUUAUUUUGACUUUGGUAUAAUAAGGAGCUCAGAAAGUAGUAAACAACAGCAACAACGGUGAAAUCACAUCUUAUCGGUAGUCCCAGCUACCAAAAUUUUCAGAACUACACUGACCUGAUUCCUUUAUAGCCAAGGAUAUGUAGGCAACCUCCGGAGCAAGGUUCAGUCAAACUUUUUCAAAAUGCUUCCCAUGGAGUAUCAAACAGGCAAAAAUUGUUCAUGAUUGCUCACUUUAUCUUUGCCCGAAAAGUCUUCAUGUUUCGGAGCAAAGAGGGGUAGCUGUGACACCUGAGUUUUGCCCCACACAGAAAAUUACUCCUAAAAUGUCAAAAAAUAAUUUUAAUCGCUUUUAUAGAAUUUUAGGAAUAUUUCUUGUAUUUAUUUGCAUUGUUCAUGCAUAUUUAGAGUUAUUUUUAGAAAAUCAUAAAAAAAUGUUUAAUUUUUCAUCUCGUAGCAGUUAAAUCUUAAUUGUAUUUAGAAUUUAAUUACAUCAAUUAAAUGCAUUAUCAAAUGAAAAAAAUUCACAAAAUACCAUAGUCCUUUCUACAUUUUAGCUUUUAGUUUUAAAUUAAUAAUUUUCUUUUAUUAGUUUACAUUGUUAAGGUAAUAACUAACUAAUUGGUAGAUAAAAUAGUAAGAUGGUUAAUUUUGCAGUUUUUAGUUUACACAUUAGGUUAGUCUUAUUGUUGGCUAAAAGUGAAAUUUUUAAAAAGAGAAGCCUUUGCUGUUGGAGAUUUAUUAGCUUGAAUUGGGCCAGUUUGAGCCCAUUUUCUGUUAAAUCCAAAUCAUCCCUCCUAGCCCAGACCAAGCCCAAAUUCGGUCCUCCCCUAUUAAACACAAACGACCCUGUUUCGUCUCCCCUUCCCCUCAUCUCUGAAAAAAACCUAAUCCCUUUCAUUUGAGUAAUGGAGAAAAACGGUAGAACAUAGAGACGGAUCUCCCCCCCCCCAAUUGAAAAUCCCUAGCAGCUCACAGACCCCUUUCCCUCGAAGACAACCGGCCGCCACCCCUUUCCCUCUCCUUCUUAUUUCUACUCUCUCUUAUCGUACCUCGUCCAUUCAUUCACUUAUGCUUACUUUGCUUGUUGAAAUCUGAUAUUCGAUUUGUGAAGUUCUCAAAUCAGAACAAAAAUCCAACGAAUUGAUCGUUAAUGGAUGCGCCAACAAGUCCUUGAGCAGCUUGCCCGAUUUAUUUCUUCCUGAGGUUUCUGAAAGUCGUUUUGAGCUGGAGAAUCAAUGUACUGUUGUUUCUGCUAAAAGAGUUGUUUGCUUGAUGAGUUUGGUUGGGCUGUGUUGUUGAGUUUCAACUUUCUCCUAUUUUGUAUUUAUUUGGCUUUCUAAAACUGGUUCUUGCGCAACCAAGUAUUCAUUUAAACUCAUCUUUAUUUUGGCAAACAUGAAUUAAUUCUUCUAUUUCUCCAUAAAAUUUCGACUCAUUGUUGUUUUUACGUAUUUGAAUCUUUUUCUGAGUAGUCUAUCGAUUAAUAGAUAUAAUUUUAUUUAACUUUGGGGUGAUUUGCUUCUGUUUUAUUUGGGGACUUGAAUGUUGAAUAGAGCAGGAUUCUGUUGCUCUGGCUUCUGCUCCUUCAAAUUUCUUUGAUUACAACAACAACAACAACAAAAAUAACAACAAACCUAGUAUAAUCCCAACAGGUGGGGUCUGGGGAGGGUAGUCUGUACGCGGACCUUACCCCUACCUAAUGUAGGUAGAGAUGCUGUUUCCAAUAGACCCUCGGCCCAGGAAGGGCAAGAAGAAGAAGAGGAAGCAAGGAAGGAAGAAAGAAGGAAGAUAAAAGAAAAAAUGAGAGAUAAAGGAUAAGUAAUACCAAAUAAUAGCAACGGGAAAUACAAUAUCUGAGGCGAACAAAAGCACAAACGUAAUAAAAAUCUAAGAAUAUGAAGGGAUAUGCAUACUACUAAGACUAUCGGUGAACAACUAAAAACUACCCACUAACUUUCUACCUUAAUCCUCGCCUCCACACUCUCUUAUCAAGGGUCAUGUCCUCAGUGAGCUGAAGUAGCGCCAUGUCCUGUCUAAUCACCUCUCCCCAGUACUUUUUAGGCCUACCUCGACCUCUUCUCAAACUCUCCAUGGCCAGCCUCUCACACCUCCUGACAGGAGCAUCAAUUCUUCUUCUCUUAACAUGUCCGAACCAUCUCAGCCUCGACUCUCGCAUCUUGUCCUCUACGGAGGCUACUCCCACUUUGUCCCGAAUAGCUUCAUUCUUAAUAUGGUCAUGAAUCUGAUUAAUGUUAGAUAGGUAUGGAGUGUAAAUAGGCACAAAAAAUGAUUAUCGAUAUAGAUAGCCUUCCCAUUUAACACUUGACUUUGUAUUGAAAGACUAAUGAAUUACCUGAUGAUUCAUUUGGAAAUUAAACCUGUAAUAAAGGAAAGUCGUAGAUGUAUCAGAUUUGUGAAGCAGUUUGUUGAAUCAAUAGAGUGGUUGUAUGCGUAACAAGGUUCGAUAGAGUUGAUUGAUUGAUAGAAUGGCUAUUUGUGUAAUAGGC
rnacentral:lncRNA from 1 species